GACAGAGGUGGCGAGCGUUGUUCGGAAUCACUGGGCUUAAAGGGCGCGUAGGUGGUAGUGCAAGUCUGGGGUGGAAUCCUAUGGCUUAACCAUAGAAUUGCCUUGGAAACUGUAUUACUUGAGUCAGUGAGGGGAGGGUAGAAUUCCUGGUGUAGCGGUGAAAUGCGUAGAUAUCAGGAGGAAGGCCUGUGGCGAAGGCGGCCCUCUGGCGCUGAACUGACACUGAGGCGCGAAAGCGUGGGGAGCAAACAGG
rnacentral:rRNA from 1 species